UACGUAGGGUGCAAGCGUUAAUCGGAAUUACUGGCGUAAAGCGUGCGCAGGCGGCUUUGCAAGACAGAUGUCGAAAUCCCCGGGGCUCAACCUGGGAACUGCAUUUGUGACUGCAUGGCUAGAGUGCGGACAGAGGGGGAUGGAAUUCGCGUGUAGCAGUGAAAUGCGUAGAUAUGCGGAGGAACACCGAUGGCGAAGGCAAUCCCCUG
rnacentral:rRNA from 1 species